GAGCCAGGCGGCGGGGACUAGAAAGAUGGUGAACUAGACCUGAGCGGGGCGAAGCCAGAGGAAACUCUGGUGGAGGCUCGAAGCGAUACUGACGUGCAAAUCGUUCGUCUGACUUGGGUAUAGGGGCGAAAGACUAAUCGAACCAUCUAGUAGCUGGUUCCCUCCGAAGUUUCCCUAAGGAUAGCUGGAGCCCAUUACGAG
rfam:Hordeum vulgare subsp. vulgare, WGS project CAJW01000000 data, contig: morex_contig_479162